rnacentral:rRNA from 1 species
UACAGAGGUGGCAAGCGUUGUUCGGAAUUACUGGGCGUAAAGGGCGCGUAGGCGGCCUUCUAAGUCAGACGUGAAAUCCCCCGGCUUAACCUGGGAACUGCGUCUGAUACUGGAGGGCUUGAGUGCGGGAGAGGGAUGUGGAAUUCCAGGUGUAGCGGUGAAAUGCGUAGAUAUCAGGAGGAACACCGAUGGCGAAGGCAGGUCUCUGGGCCAUAACUGACGCUGAGAAGCGAAAGCAUGGGGAGCGAACAGG